UACGUAGGUGGCAAGCGUUGUUCGGAAUAACUGGGCGUAAAGGAUGCGUAGGCGGUUAAACAAGUUAUAUGUUAAAUAUAUAGGCUUAACCUGUAGAAAGCAUAUAAAACUGUUUAACUAGAGUGCAGGAGAGGUAAGUGGAAUUCCUAGUGUAGCGGUGAAAUGCGUAGAGAUUAGGAAGAACACCAGUGGCGAAGGCGGCUCUCUGGUCUGCAACUGACGCUGAGGCUCGAAAGCAUGGGUAGCGAACAGG
rnacentral:rRNA from 1 species